GAGCGCGGCUGUAGAGGAGCGCGGCGGCGGGUAGGAGGUGGGUGGCCGACGGAGCGGCAGUGGGGGGCCGCGGCGGCGGGGAGGGGCAGGAGAUCCUCGUGUCUAGGAGGGGCGGGGGAAGGGCUCGUACUCCGAUCGAGAGGGUAGCCGCGGCGGCGGGGAGGGACAGGCGAUCCCAACUCCAGCGUGCCGGUAGAGAGGCGGCCGUCCCGGCCGAGGAGGCCGCCGUUCCACGAGGCCGCACUUCCACGAGUCUCCACGGGGACGACUAGAGGAGGAGUACGUUGUUGUUCUUCGUUGGUCUACACGUCACAUAUGCGUAGUUGUUCCUCCGUGGACUUGUUAUAAAUAAGUUUCGUUCUGCGCUUUCUUAGUACAACAUACGAAGUCUAAAUAUGACUUUCACACAGGGAUAAAACUACGUUAAGAAGAAAAAAUGUAUGAUCCUUUGCAAGACAUCGUUUUUUGUGCGAGUGACUCGUACAGCAAUACCUAAUGCAUUACUUCGCAUCUUUUACUUCUUCUAUUAGUUCAGCUCUCGCUGGCCGCUACUACACAUCAACGACCUACUCGAAGAGUAGGUGCGGAACCGACGUUUGGCACAGACGUCCACGUCGCUACUUCUCCUAUUAGUUCGUCUUAUGGCUGUUGCUCCUGUAUGUCACCGACACACACGAAGAGUAGGUGAGGGGGCGACAUAGGGUACAGAUCCCACGUCCUACAUACACCACUAGUUGUAUUAUACCCUCUGUACCCUAGUAUACUAAAGAACUUCGCCUGAUUCGAUUCUCUCCUAAUGACUACGAAUGUAACAAGAGUCAGUCCUGUUCGUUCGGGUCACUGAGGGUGAUGCUGAGUACCGCGAAGCUGGAGGAACGUUGUUACUAGUGAGCUCCAAACGUAGCACCUACGGCAACUGCCACCCGUAUGUACGAUGCCACCUCGUGUAACGUACAAACUCCAAGUAUGAACCACACUUGAACCUUGAGUACGAAAACAAACACUUGGAACAACCUAUACAUGGACACACCUGAAACCUGAGUACCAGUUAAACAAU
rnacentral:rRNA from 1 species